rnacentral:lncRNA from 1 species
CACAGAGAGUGGCCCAGAAAGACAGGUCAAAUGGAAUGGAUUCAGCACAGAAAUGUACUUUCUAAUCUGGGUGUAGAGUGUCAACAAACAUCUAGCAACACAUCCUAAAUAACAAACUGCCAAGCGCUGAUCGGAUCCCAAGAAAAUGGACAUUUCUUUGCACAAAGAGCAACAGUGAAGUCUGGGACUCACCAAGUGCCCUACAGCCAAUACAGUACUUGACACCGUGUGGAUAAGAUUUGUGAAAUGGUUGAAGGAAAGACCUGGGGUUUGAGCCCAGAGCCCAGUGCAAGUCAAUGACAGCAGGGACAAGCUUGAGGAGGAAGGUGAAUCUGAAACAGGGUGACAUCAGCAAUGGCAGGGCCUGGUGACUGGAGUCCCUUUGCCUGGAGGGGAUGGAAGAGGCUUCCAGGCUUGCUGGUUGCUACAAAUGGAAAUGAUAUGUCGGGGAAGCAGUGCGGUUUCUCAACGUUGUAAGCUCUGCCUGUGUGGGGGCGGGGGUGGCGCUUGAAAACAGUGCACAUUUUCCCAGUCUUUAUGGUUUUUUUUCACACUUCCCUUUUUGAGCUUUGUCUGCCUUCAUUUUGUCUCUCCUCCACUUUCAAAGCUAGUUGUUUCACUGAUUGAAAGCCACCUUUCAGUGACCCUCCUCCUCUGGGACUGUAACACAGGAAAGCUCUAGAAUCCUAAGACUUGCAUCUGGAGAAACAUUCCUGCAUACUCUGGAUUGUGUGGACUUUAUGUGAUAAAUGCUUGUUCUGGGAACCCCCACUUCCCAUCCACGGCCUCUCUGGAUUCUUCAAGAACCCAAGAGCCAUGUCUACCUGGCUGGGCCGUGCUGCAGCUAAGAAGGAGGAGCAGCUGGACUGCGCUCUUAGCCACGGGGAGGAUCUGGUGCUCUGGCUGUGGCCCCAGAGAAUAAGGAAGACCCAGUUUCCUUGGAGAGGGGUCUAGGGUCAAGGCCUGGGAUAUUUACUUCUUCCUGCUCAGAGCCCAUAAUUAAAGGAGUCCUGGGAUGAGUAGAAGGUAAUUACUUCUUUUUCAUACUCUGAGAGCCCUGCCUUGCUUCUUGUUCACCUCCCCGUCCCCCAGAAGUGGCCUUUGCAGCUGCAGACGCAACUUGGCCUUAAAGGAAGACAGUGCCUGUAGAGUAAUAGGAGGCAGGGUGGGUGCAGGCACCAAGCUCAGGAAGCCUCGAGCACACAAGAAAAGACCUGGUCUGUGCUCCCUCCACUGAGCCAGGGGCCUCCAGGCAGUUACCUCCAGGCUGCUUCAAGCCAGACUUUUUAUAAACUCUUGGUCCCUAAAUAACAAAGUCAAACACAAAACUCAAAUAGGAGACAAAAAUUGCAAACAGCUAUAUUUUGACAUUAGAUAAAAAGAGAAAACGUAUUGGUUGUGCUGAGAAUUUCAUGACAAAUCCCACUUCACGCCAUGGAAACUGUCUCAAGCUGGCAUUGCAAAUCUCACCCUGAGUUUGCAGGUGACCUGGACAGAGAAGGGUGAACACCUGGAUGGAGAGGGUCGAACAAAGCACAUCUGAGCACUUGGAUCGAGCAGAAAAACAGAAGAACAAAUGGACCCAAAGAAAACAAACAAAAACUAGACUCUGCUUGGGGCAGGGGACAAUUAAAAUAAUCAUUUAAAAUUUUGAGGUAA